rnacentral:rRNA from 1 species
GGCGGCAUGCUUUACACAUGCAAGUCGAACGGCAGCACGAGUGCUUGCACUUGGUGGCGAGUGGCGGACGGGUGAGUAAUGCAUCGGAACGUGUCUUAAAGUGGCGGAUAACGCAUCGAAAGAUGUGCUAAUACCGCAUAUACUCUGAGGAGGAAGGUAGGGGAUCGAAAGACCUUACGCUUUGAAAGCGGCCGAUGUCUGAUUAGCUAGUUGGUAAGGUAAAGGCUUACCAAGGCGACGAUCAGUAGUUGGUCUGAGAGGACGACCAGCCACACUGGGACUGAGACACGGCCCAGACUCCUACGGAAGGCAGCAGUGGGGAAUUUUGGACAAUGGGCGAAAGCCUGAUCCAGCAAUGCCGCGUGAGUGAAGAAGGCCUUCGGGUUGUAAAGCUCUUUCAGUCGAGGAGAAAAAAUUAUGAUUAAUAAUUAUAAUUGAUGACGGUAUCGACAGAAAAAGCACCGGCUAACUACGUGCCAGCAGCCGCGGUAAUACGUAGGGUGCGAGCGUUAAUCGGAAUUACUGGGCGUAAAGGGUGCGCAGGCGGUUUUGUAAGUCAGAUGUGAAAUCCCCGGGCUUAACCUGGGAAUUGCGUUUGAAACUACAGAUCUAGAGUGUGGCAGAGGGAGGUGGAAUUCCAUGUGUAGCAGUGAAAUGCGUAGGGAUAUGGAAGAACAUCGAUGGCGAAGGCAGCCUCCUGGGUUAACACUGACGCUCAUGCACGAAAGCGUGAGGAGCAAACAGGAUUAGAUACCCUGGUAGUCCACGCCCUAAACUAUGUCAACUAGUUGUUGAGCCUUAAUAGGCUUG